UGCCCAGCCAUAAACACAGAUAGACUGUCAACACCACUAUCCGCCAGAAAAUUACAAGUGAAAAACUUAAAACUCUAAGGACUUGACGGUGCCCCACACCAACCUAGAGGAGCCUGUCCUAUAAUCGAUACUCCGCGCUUUACCUUUCCCCCCCUCGCCUUCAGCCUAUAUACCGCCGUCGCCAGCCUACCCUGUGAUAGAAAACAAGUAAGCAAAACAGCCCACCACACGCAAACACGUCAGGUCAAGGUGUAGCCAAUGGGGCGGACAGAGAUGGGCUACAUUUUCUAAUACUAGAAAACACCACACGCUACCUGAAACACUACGCCAAAAGGUGGAUUUAGUAGUAAACAAGAGUAAGACACACUCACUUGAAACCUGCUC
rnacentral:rRNA from 1 species